GGAGAGAGAAGGAGAGAGAGAGAAAGGUGGAGGGAGAGAGAAGGGGAGAGAGAGAAAGAUGGAGGGAGAGAGAAGGGGAGAGAGAGAAAGAUGGAGGGAGAGAGAAGGGGUGAGAGAAAGCUGGAGGGAGAGAGAAGGGGUGAGAGAGAGAGAAUGGUGGUGGGAGAGAGAAGGGGAGAGAGAAAGAGAAUGGGAGAGAGAGAAAGAUGGAGGGAGAGAGAGAAAGGUGGAGAGAGAGAGAAGGAGAGAGAGAGAAAGGUGGAGAGAGAAGGAUAGAGAGAGAAAGGUGGUGAGAGAGAAGGGGAGAGAGAGAAAGAUGGAGGGA
ensembl:lncRNA